UACGGGGGGAGCAAGCGUUGUUCGGAAUUACUGGGCGUAAAGGGCGCGUAGGCGGCCUUCUAAGUCGAACGUGAAAUCCCCGGGCUCAACCCGGGAACUGCGUCCGAUACUGGAAGGCUUGAAUCCGGGAGAGGGAUGCGGAAUUCCAGGUGUAGCGGUGAAAUGCGUAGAUAUCUGGAGGAACACCGGUGGCGAAGGCGGCAUCCUGGACCGGCAUUGACGCUGAGGCGCGAAAGCCAGGGGAGCAAACGGG
rnacentral:rRNA from 1 species